rnacentral:rRNA from 1 species
CAGCUAGUUGGUGAGGUAAGAGCCCACCAAGGCAGAGAUCGGUAGCCGGCCUGAGAGGGCACACGGCCACACUGGCACUGAAACACGGGCCAGACUCCUACGGGAGGCAGCAGUGGGGAAUCUUGCACAAUGGGGGCAACCCUGAUGCAGCGACGCCGCGUGAGCGAUGAAGCCCUUCGGGGUGUAAAGCUCUUUCGGCAGGGAAGAUAGUGACGGUACCUGCAGAAGCAGCUGCGGCUAACUACGUGCCAGCAGCCGCGGUAAUACGUAGGCAGCAAGCGUUGUUCGGAGUUACUGGGCGUAAAGGGUGUGUAGGCGGUUCUUUAAGUUUGGUGUGAAAUCUCCCGGCUCAACCGGGAGGGUGCGCCGAAUACUGAGGGACUAGAGUGCGGGAGAGGAAAGUGGAAUUCCUGGUGUAGCGGUGAAAUGCGUAGAUAUCAGGAGGAACACCGGUGGUGUAGACGGCUUUCUGGACCGUAACUGACGCUGAGACACGAAAGCGUGGGUAGCAAACAGGAUUAGAUACCCUGGUAGUCCACGCCCUAAACGAUGCAUAUUUGGUGUGGGUCAUUCAGUUGAUCCGUGCCGGAGCUAACGCGUUAAAUAUGCCGCCUGGGGAGUGCAGUCGCAAGGCUGAAACUCAAAGGAAUUGACG